AAUAAGUGCUAUGAUGAGAUUGAUUUGGUUACGAUUUGAUUAAGAUUUGGUUUAGGAUUAAGGUUUGGUUUAGGAUUUGAUUUAGGAUCUAGGAUUUUGUCUAAGGUUUGAUUUAUGGUUUAGGAUUUAUCAAGGGUUUGAUUUAGGAUUUAGGAUUUUUCUAGAAUUUGAUUUAGGAUUUAGGAUUUAUUUAGGAUUUGAUUUAGGAUUUAGGAUUUGUCUAAGGUUUGGUUUAGGAUUUAAGAUUUUUCUAAGAUUUGAUCUAAGAUUUAGGAUUUGUCUAGGAUUUGAUUAAAAUCCAUUAGGAUUUCAACUAAGAUUAAAUUAAAACUUGGUUGAGAUUUAUUUAAGAUAUCCUUGUGAUUAUUUUAAUAUUUUUUAAGGUUUCAUAAAGAUUCUUUUAAGGUUUAUUGUAGAUUUUCUUUGAAUUUUUUAAAGAUUUUUUAUUUUUUCUUUUGUAAUUUCU
rnacentral:lncRNA from 1 species